GACGAACGCUGGCGGCGUGCUUAACACAUGCAAGUCGAACGGUAAGGCCCUUCGGGGUACACGAGUGGCGAACGGGUGAGUAACACGUGGGUGAUCUGCCCUGCACUUCGGGAUAAGCCUGGGAAACUGGGUCUAAUACCGGAUAGGACCACUGCCUGCAUGGGUGGUGGUGGAAAGCUUUUGCGGUGUGGGAUGGGCCCGCGGCCUAUCAGCUUGUUGGGGGGGUGAUGGCCUACCAAGGCGACGACGGGUAGCCGGCCUGAGAGGGUGACCGGCCACAGUGGGACUGAGAUACGGCGCGGACUGCUACGGGGGGCAGCAGUGGGGAAUAUUGCACAAUGGGCGCAAGCCUGAUGCAGCGACGCCGCGUGAGGGAUGACGGCCUUCGGGUUGUAAACCUCUUUCAGCACCGACGAAGCGCAAGUGACGGUAGGUGCAGAAGAAGGACCGGCCAACUACGUGCCAGCAGCCGCUGUAA
rnacentral:rRNA from 1 species